GACUUGUGGACUUGCAGCCCCUGCUGUGUCCAAAGGCCUGGGAGACAGAUCCUGGAAUUUCACUGCAGGAACUGACAGGAUGGUUUCAGGAGGUCCAUUCCUAAAAGUUAGGAUUUAUUAUAGCUAAAGCUCCUGUUUUGGGACUGCAAGUGAAGGAUGUUGAGUGGAAAACGCAGAGUUCCACCUCCGUUAGAGCCAGAGCUGGCGUGACUCAUCCUGGAGGGCACAGCUUUGCAUGGUCCUUCACCUGAGCUGUUGCCCUGCUGUGAGAAAUCUGCCAUAAGAGAAAGCUGGAAACAGACUUAACCUCAUUUUGGAUUGUCCGCUGCCAUCCAGGAGCGGUGAGAAUUGGGAAUCCAUUUAUUAUUCCCUUUAAAGUGAAUUGUACUGCCUGCCCAUGGAAACACAGGGUGCAACUGAGGAAGACGCUGCUUUUGUGCAAGAAGGGCCACGAGGAUUAAAGUGCACCAGGUACAAUGUGUGUGGAUGAGUCAGGAGAUCCUGGCUUCAAAUGUGAGCUCUUCAAAGUGGCAUCUGCCUUUUUUGGUGAGCCUCACACCGACCUCUCAUUUAAAGAAUGCAGAACCAUAACAAAA